CUCCAUUCCUGACUUGUUGGAUGGUGGUGCGAACAAGGACACAGGAGCAAAAGCAACUUUGGUGAGAAAAGCAAUGUGUUCAGUUUUGGAUCUGAUGCAUUUGAGAUGCCUCUGGGACAGCCAGUGUGGAUACUCGAAACUCGAGUAAAGGCUGUGGCUUAGGCUUUCCGCUUAUUCCUGCUUCUGCCUCCUGAUCAAGACCUGACGCCUCCCCUGUGGCCCUAAGUGGCGUGCUGUGUCCCCUUCUCUCAGGAAGGGACUGAACCUGGGCCCCAGCAAUCAAAGCACAGAGUCCUAACUGCUGAACCACCAAGAAAUUCCCGAGAUGAGGGUCAAAAGCUGAUGCUGUGCUGGAGAGCCAGCUUGCACCAUGUAGAUAAAGUCAGUACCCACCCGGUACGGCAG
ensembl:lncRNA